rnacentral:lncRNA from 1 species
CUUUUUUUUUUUUUUUUUUUUGGUCUUUUCAGGGCCACACACACAGCAUGUGGAAGUUUCCAGGCUAGGGGUUGAAUCGGAGCUGCAGCUGCUGACCUACACCACAGCUCACAGUAAUGCUGGAUCCUAAACCCACUAAGCAAGGCCAGGGAUCGAACCUGCAUCCUCAUGGAUACUAGUCAGGUUCCUUACCACUGAGCCACAAUGGGAACUCCUGCACCUCUAAAGUUUUAUUUCAACAGUGCCAGACUGGAGCUUAACAUUCUAGUAGAAGAGCUAGACAGUUAUCAAAGUAAAUAAAAACUAAAUUAGUGAUGAAUGCUAAAGUGGAUGCUCAAUCUGGGAAGUAUUAAGAGAGCAACCAGGGAAGGUUGAUGUGGUUAUAAUAAACAGUACUUGGUUUUUACUGCUGAAAUCCUUGGGGUUUCCUAAGGCACAAGAGCAAUGCAGGUGUCUUUUGUUACGUUUAAUGAAGUGACGUUUGGACUACACCUGAGGAAGGGGCUGGUUGCUAGGAGAACCCCCCNACCCCCCCCCCCCCCCCCCCCGUGAUUAGAGGGUUAGAACUUCCGGUUUCACUCUCCUGACUUCUGGGGAGAGGAAAGUGGGCAGAGGUUAAAUCAGCUGCAUAUGACCAGAGAUUUGGAAGCUCCAUGACCUUUGCCUACACCUUGCCCUAUGCACCUUUUCCCUCUGGCUGUUCCUCUGUUACACCCUCCCAUAAUAAACUGGUCACAUAGCAAGCAAAAAUAUUUUUCUGAUUUUUAAAAAAAAUUUUUUUUGAAAUUUCUUCUUUGAAUCAUGGGUUUUUUUUUUUUUUGGUCUUUUUGCCUUUUAGGGCUGCACUAGCAGCAUAUGGAGGUUCCCAGGCUAGGGGUCGAAUUGGAGCUGCAGCUGCCGGCCUACGCCAGAGCCACAGCAACUGUGGGAUCCGAGCCGCGUCUGUAACCUACACCACAGCUCACAGCAACGCCGGAUCCUUAACCCACUGAGCAAGGCCAGGGAUCGAACCCACAACCUCAUGGUUCCUAGUCGGAUUCGUUAACCAUCGAGCCAUGCCAGGAACUCCCCUCCAUGCUUUUGUUGCUGAACCUCGGCCCCCGUCUGCUGGUGCCCACAUGAAACACAGAGACGGGAGUUUUGGGUGAAGGAAAAAAAGAUGGCUUUAUUGCUUUGCCAGGCAAAGGAGGCCACAGCCGGCUAAUGCCCUAAAGACUGUGCCCCCCUUGGAAGGAAUUAGGAGAUGGUUUUAUAGGUUGGGGAGUGGAAAAUAGGGCCAUAGAUAAGGAUCAGGAUAGAGGUGAACUUGCUUUGUCUUUCAAAGUUGGUGUUUAGUGACCCCCAGGACUGAUUCUGGUGGUCCUCUUUCCCAGAAUGAAAACUGCUCCAUCAAGUAGUUCUUCCAUCUGUUGGGGGUUUUAGUUCUGCAGAAAGGCUCAAAGAUACCGUUAGGUAUAUUCCUUGAGGAGGAACCAGGACCCUGCCCCAAGGCUGCACUAUAGUCUCUCCACCGCUCCUCUCCCUUCCCUGAUUAGCUACUGACCUUUGGAACUCAGGAAGGUCAUGGAGGCUGAGGCUUAUUCCCUAAAAACGAGAAAUGGAGGACACAGAAAGGCUUGUGUGCCCAGGAGCCCCACAGGGCGCUAUUCCAUUAGACUUUGCGUUCCUGAUGUACAGUCAGGCUAAAUAAACUGAAAUGUUGAAAGUUUGGAGUACAGAAAGAUUUAUUGUAGGGCCAAGCAAGGAGAAUGGAUGGCUUGUGCCCCCACACCCGGAACUCCCCAGUGGUUCAAAAAACCUUUCCCAAAAGGGAAAGGUUUUAUAUGCAGAAUCGGGGGUGAGGGCUGCAGGGUGUGUGACUCUCUUUUGAUUGGUGGGUGGUAAGUUAACAAGGAGAUGUUUUCAGGAAUCUUAACCACCUGCUGGGUCUCUGUGCUUGUGUUGUAGUCAGUUUGUAGUUAUUGUCCUCCACCUGGGUCAAGGUCUUAUUUUCUGUGUGACAGCCGAAAAUUUGUAUCAGAUUGUUAUGUAUAUCCCUUGAGAAGGAGCUAGGACUGAAUAUUGCUUAAGCUAUCUUUUUUUUUUUUUCAGUUUUUUUAAAUUAUAGUUGAUUUGAAAUGUUCUGUCAAUUUCUGCUGUAUAAAAUCAUACACACACACACGCAUUGUUUUUCUCACAUUAUCCUCCGUCAUGUUCCAUCUCAAGUGACUAGAUACAGUUUCCUGUGCUAUGCAGCAGCAUCUCAUUGCUGUUCUUACUUCUUUUACUUAACUGCUUUUCCUUUGUUUCUGCAUUCCCUUACUUCCCCAAAUAGCAACUGCUAGAGGCAGCUCUUUGGACUCAGAGAUGGCCUAGGAGGGUUCAUAAAGUCUUUUUCUACAAACAGCGGGGGGACGUAGAGGGCUUUUGUACCUGGGAGGUUCCUAGGCUAGGGGUUUAAUUGGAGCUGCAGCUGCUGGCCUACACCAGAGCCACAGCAACGCAGGAUCCGAGCUGCAUCUGUGACCUACACCACAGGUCAUGGCAAUGCUGGAUCCUUAACCCACUGAAUGAUGCCAGGGAUCAAACCUGAGUCUUCUUGGUUCCUAGUGGGAUUUGUUUCCGCUGUGCCACAACGGGAACUCCUGCCUGGUUUCUUAAGCCCACCUUAAUUAUUUUUUGACUCCUUAACUACCCGCUGGAGGUAACACAUCUGAAUAUGGGUUGCUAUAAUAACAGGGGCUUAAGUAGUUUGUUCAGGGACUUGAAGUCAGCUUCUGUCCAGUUCAAGCCAGCUAAUGUUACUGAACUGAACUCACCAAUCACCUGACAUGCAGUAAAGUCAGUCUACUGUCCCUGGGUUGUGCUGGAGGAAAGUAUAGCAGGCCCCGAACAAGGAGAGUAGGCAGCUCAUGCUCAAAAGACCCAAACUCAGAAGUUGCCUUGUGGUGAAGCAGAUGGAGAAUCUGGCAUUGUCACAGCUGUAGCGCUAUGGCACGGGUUUGAUCCGUGGCUCAGAAAUUUCCACACACCAUGGAUGUGUUGGGGAAAAAAAAAAGACCCAAACUCCCCAGUGGCUUUCAGGGAAAGUUUUUUGUUGUUUUUUUUUUCUUUUUAGGGCUGCACUUGCCGCAUAUGGAAGUUCCUGGACCAGAGGUGAAAUGGGAGCUGCAGCUGCGGGCCUACAUGACAGCCAUAGUAACAUGGGAUCAGAGCCAUGUCUGCAACCUAUGCUGGCAGCUCACAGCAAUGCCGGAUUCUUAACCCACUGAGUGAGGCCAGGGAUCAAACCCGCAUCCUCAUGGAUACUAGUCAGGUUCAUUACUGCUGAGCCACAAGGAGAACUCCAGGGAAAGGUGUUUAAAGACAGUGUUCAGAGUGAGGGUUGCAGGGUGUGGGAUCAGUUCAUAGAUAAUUUUCUUUUCUUUUUUUGGCUGUGGCAUGCAGUGGUUUGCAGAACAGGGAUUGAACCUGGGCCAAAGCAGUGAAAGUGCUAAGCCCUGACCAACAGACUACCAGGGAGCUCCUCACGGACGGUUUUCUGAUUGGUAGAGGGUAGUGGUAUGUCAGGAAUCUCUCAUCAGUUUUCCAGCUCCAACUAGUCAGUGGUCUACAGGUUUAGGGUCAGCAGUUUCCCCCUUGUAGGAGUCUGAUUUCUGUAAGAAACACUUAAGAAUAUGCGUCAGACCUUGUUAUCUGUUUUUCUCGAGGAGAACUGGGGCCUUAUGACCCUGAUGCUUGAGUUUUACUUAUUGCUUAAGUUGUUGUCUCCUUCCUUGCUCAGCUGCCUUUUCUUAGUUCCUGCUUUUGCCUCUUCUUAAAUGAUUAAUUGCUUGAGUCUGUUUUCUGAAACUUGAGAGGCCAGGGAAACUAAAAGUUUGAAUUUUUUUUUUUUUUUUUAAGCUGGGAGGUGAGAACACAUGAAGGGGCCUGCGAGUGGGGUGGCCCUACAGGGCUCUGCUCAUUUUCGAUGAGACUGGUUGGGACCACCGAGCCUAAAACUGGGCGUGGGCAGGUGUUGGAUGAAUGACUUUUUGAUAUCAGAGGACUGCAAACUCCACCCUCAGAUCAUGCUAAUGCCUCCACUUUUGAACACGUGUCUCAGGAAGAAACACGUGACUCAUAGGCCUUUUCGGGACACUGAUUACCUCACCUUUUCCCCCUGUGUCCCGUCACCCUUCCCCAUGGCUAAGGCCACCCUGCGUCUUUAUCCCAUAUACACCCAAACACCUCGCCUUUAAGGAGGCAGGUCUGAGGCGUGUUCUGCCGGCUCCUCACUUGGCUGCCUUGUGAGUAAAGUCUUUCUCUGCUGCAAACCUCAGCAUCUUAGCAGUUGGCUGGCUGCACAUGGGGAAAUUGAACCUGGCUUGGUAGCAAUAGGGUUAGUUGUCAGUCAAAUUGUAGAGCACCCAGCUGGUGUCUGGGGAGUUGCUUGGUGGUGGGGAACACUGCACCCACUGGAAUUGGGUGCAGAACUUGAGAAGAUCUCCCCGAGAGGGUGUCAUUGAGCAAAGCCCACAGAGGGUGAGGGAGGGAGCUGUGGGAACAAGUGUGCCAGGCAGAGAGAACAGCAAGUGCAAAGGCCCUUCCCUGAGGCCAGAACAUGCAGGAUGCAUUCAGGGAACAUGAGGACAGGCCAGUUUAGCUGGAGCAGAGGGAGCCAUGUGACAAAUGAUGAGAGAGCUCAGCAGUAACAGGAGGCUGGAUGCGCGGGGCCUUCCUGGCAAUUAUAAGGACCCUUCUCUGACUUUUACACAAGUAAGAUUCUGACUAGGGCCCUGGAUUCUGUGGUUUGUGUGUUUGUUUGUUUUGCUUUUUUUUAGAGCUGCACCUGCGGCAUAUGGAAGUUUCCAGGCUAGGGGUCUCAUUGGAGCUGCAGCUGCCAACCUACACCACAGCCACAGCAACACCAGAUCCGAGCCACGUCUGUGACCUACACCACAGCUCACAGCAAUGCUGGAUCCUUACCCCACUGACUGAGGCCAGGGGAUCGAACCUGUAACCUCAUAGUUCCUAGUUGGAUUUGUUUCUGCUGCGCCACAAUGGGAACUCCAAUUCUGUGUUUUUAAUAAACUUCCCAAGAUAAAUCGACCCAUAAUAGUGUCUGGGGAUUCAGUGAGGAAGCUAGGGAAGCAAAAAGGAAGCCAUUCCUUUUUUAAAUUUUUUUCUUUUCUUUUUACAGGCUAAGGGCUGAAUCAGAGCUGCAGCUGCCAGCCUACAGCACAGCCACAGCAGUAUCGGAUCCUUAACCCACUGAGCAGACCAGGGAUCAAACCUGUGUCCUCCUGGAUACUAGUCAGGUUCAUAACCCGUUGAACCACACUGGAAACUCCAGGAAGCUCCUUUAGGCCACUUCAUAGAAGGGAGUCCUAGUAUUGCUGUCCUCUGUGAGGACUGUCAUGCAAACAGAAACACUCAAAAACACAACUCACCCUUGAAUUAAAGAUUUAUUUGGGUUAAAAAGUACCUUUUAAAAAACGCAGGCCCCUCUGGGCAGGGUUCAUGCAUGCUGUAUUCCUAACGCUUAGUUAGCUAAGAAUAGCACUGAGAAUCGGGUGAGAUUGAGAGAAGAGUCAGCUGUUGGACUUUAUGUGAGAUUUGCACAUUUCAGCAGGAAGAGUAGAGAGCGUGGUGCCAGGAACAGGAUAGGAGAGCAGGUUGUCUGGAAAGGGUCGGGGCACAUCAGCAUUGUAUUUCUUUGUCCGUGCCCCAGCUUUAUAGAGGUAUACGUAUGACAAAUACAAACUAUAUAUAUUUGUAUUUGUAAGGUGCACCAUGUGAUAUUUUGAUGUAUAUUGUAUAUAUUGUGAAAUGUUUACCGCAGUGAAGCUGAUUAACAUGGCCAUCACUGAAGUCCUUCUCAGAUAGGACUCGACCUCAGCCACCCCUCAGAUUGGGACUUGAACCCAAGAUCCCUGACUAAGGAGGGAACUCAAACCCCUGUCUUUUAAGUGAAACCACUCACCUGGUGGCUGGACUUACUGAAGCUCAGGUUCUCUAGUUUCAGUGUGGAAAGAAUUCAGCAUGAGGCAACGUGGCAGGCAGAGUAGGCUUAUUAGCAUCGGAUGCUUGUGAGAACCACAGGUUCCCCCCCCCGCCCCCCGAGAUCAAAGAGGGCUACAUUUUUACAAUCAAAGGAACAAUGGCGAGUGAGCAUUCUUGGGUAGAUAUUAAGACUUACCUCAUCAGUUCCUUCUUUAACCCUAUAUGGCCUAACCAGGACCAUCAUAGCUAUUAAAUCGCAUGUACGCCAAGUGUGGUACACUAAAAUAAGGUAAUUCACCUCAAGUUUCUCUGUAAGGUCCCCUACCAUGGAGUUUCUUUCCCCUUUCCCCUGUAUUCCUAUCUUGGCUACAUGCAGAAAUGCUGCUCUUCGAGGACCGCUAACUCCCUGACUUUGCAUAAGAAGAUGCAGACCCCACAUCUAUUGUCUUGUGCUUUAACUAUCGGGAUGUGUGGGCUUGGGUGUGCCUGGCACUCGAAUGCAUCUGAUCCUCCUUUAAGGUAGUGCAGAUUGUUGCUAGGUUACUGGAUUCUUUUCUUGAGUGGUCAUUAGCUUACAAAGGUCUCCCAAAUUCUUAAAAUUCCCUUUCUAUCUUUAAUCCCCUAUUGGGAUUUCUCAACUAUUUAAUUAUCCUGCUCUAUCCCUAUCAACCUCACAUGGUUACCAUUGUGUGUGUCUGAUGAGAACAUUUGAGACCCACUGUCUUAGCAGAUUUCAGGGAUAUAAUACAUUAUUGUUAAUGACAGUCUCACCAGGCUGUAUGUUAGGUCUUCACAUCCUGUAACUGAGUUUGGGCCCUUUGACCAACAUCUCCCCAUUUCCCUCAACCACCACCCUACUCUCUGUUUCUGUGAAUUUAACUUUUUGGGGUUUUUUUGGCCAUCCCCAUGGUAUGCAAAAGUUCCCCAGGCCAGGGAUCAAACCUGAGUCACAGCAGUGACAAUGAUGAAUCCUUAACCAGUAAGCUGCCAGGGAAUUCUGAAUUUAAUUUUUCUAGAUUCCAUAUCAAGUAGAUCGUUAGCAGUAUUUGCCUUUUCUGUGUCUGACUGAUUUCAUGGAACAUAUAGUCCUCUGGGUAGGGCGAGUUCGUGUUGAUGAGGGGCAGGGAUGCAGGAUGUGGGAUAGUGGAUGGGAGGUUGCACUUACAGAAUGGGACUGACCUGGAGAGAGCUUUAGUUCAGUGCUUUGAUCCUAGCCAGACAGACAUGACUUUGACCAGAUGAUCUCUGAACUGGCAAUUUGAUCCCCUGAAGGGGCCAUGUGACAGGAUGUGACGGCGCCUGUGUGUGUAGGUGGUUUCCUGAUGGCAUGUUACAAGAAAGCACCACGGGUGGUGUUUUGACUGCCCGGAGGGCUCGAGUGCUGUGAAUGUACCCAGGCAGUCCCUGGGCUUAUCACUUAACUGACUCUUAUCUCUGAGGUGAGCUGUGCCAGGGGGUCUGGCUUCUAACAGGACCCAGGGAUGGGUAUUUAAGGGAACCAAAAAUCUGUCAGUUUUGUAUUUACUUCUUUCAUUUAAGAUAGUGAUAAAUUUUUUGUUUUGGAACACUCCAUCCAUAGAUAAUAGCAUGCACUUUUAUGUUUUGCUUUAUCCUUUCAUUGAAGAUAUUUUUCUACACUCUUUUCAUAGAGAUGCAUAACAAUUCAAUUAAGAACAAUUUUUUGGCCAUACCUGGGGCAUGCGGAAGUUCCCAGGACAGGGAUUAAACCCACACCGUGACAGCAGCCUGAGUAACAGUAGUGACAACACUGGACCUUAACCUGCUGAGCCAUCAUGGAACUCCUAUAAUUCAAAAUUUUUUUCUUUUUUUGGCUGCUCCUGCAGCAUAUGGAAGUUCCUAGGCCAGGGAUCAAACCUGUGCAGUUGUGGCAUGUGCCGCAGAUGUGGCAGCACUGGAUCCUUAACCUGCUGCUCCACAAGAGAACUGCCUAAUUCAGUUUGUUUUUCUUUUUUAUGACCACACUUGCUGCAUAUGGAAGUUCCCAGACUAGGGGUCAAAUCAGAGCUGCAGCUGCUGGCCUACACCACAGCAACACCAGAUCCAAGCUGCAUCUGCAGCCUGUGCCACAGCUUGCAGCAACAUCAGAUCCUUACGCCAUUGAGCUAGGCUGGAGAUCGAACCCAAUCCUCACAGAUAGUAUGUCAGGUUCUUAACCAUCUGAGCCACAGUGGGAACUCACUGAUUCAGUUUUUUUUUUUAACAUAGUUUUCCCAAGUAAACUUAGAUUUUGUGUAAACCAUUCUUAUUUAAGUAGAUGUAUUCAUUUUGGUUUAUCAAAACUCCGUUCAUAGAGAUACAAAACAUCAUUCAGUGUUGCUUAUGGCAGUUUGUUUCAGCAGAUGCUUAUUUCUGAUCUGCCAGCAAUGCAUUCAUAGGGGAAAAAUGUUUCAUUAAGUUUUGUCUCUGAAUUUUUCGUUUUAAUAGGUGCAAUUGCUUGUAUUCUAGUAACACUCCAGAUACAGGCAUUUGUGUUCAUAAACACUUCAUUCAUAGGGAUAAAAACACAUCACUUCGUCUCAUUAGAUCCACUUGUUGUUAUACCAAUGUUAAGUGCACAGAGAUAAGUAACCUAUCAUUCAGUCUUUUAAGACCACUUUUCUUUGAGUAGAUGUAUUCCUCUCCAUUCUAUUUCAGAGAUUUUAUCCCAUGUUUUAUUCCAGAGAUUCAUAUGAUGUAUUGUGGGAGUUCCUGCGUGGCGCAGAGGAAACAAACCUGACUAGUAUCCAUGAAGACUUGGGGUGGAGGAUCCUUGGCCUCGCUCAGUGGGUUAAGGAUCUGGCAUUGCCGUGAGCUAUGGUGUAAGUUGAGCAUUCAGUUCAAAUCCCGAGUUGCUGUGGCUGUGGUGUAGGCCGGCAGCUAUAGCUCCAGUUAGACCCCCAGCCUGUGAACCUCCAUAUGCCAUGCGUGUGGCCGUAAAAAAGCAAAAAAAAAAAACCCCAAAAAUAUAGUGCGUAUUGUGUUUAGGUGUUUCCUUUCAGUAGACAUCUUUUUAAAAAUUUAUUUUAUUGAAGUAUAUCAGACACAACCUAGAAUAGAUAUACAAGGAGAUCCUGCUGAAUAGCAUUGAGAACUAUGUCUAGAUACUCAUGUCGCAACAGAAGAAAGGGUGGGGGAAAAAACUGUAACUGCAAUGUAUACAUCUAAGGAUGACCUGACCCCCUUGCUGUACAGUGGGAAAAUAAUAAAAAAAAAAAAAAAAAAGAAAAGAAAAAAA